rnacentral:misc_RNA from 1 species
GCUACUACCGAUUGAAUGGUUUAGUGAGGACUCCUGAUUGGCGCCGCCGCCCCGGCAACGGAGCAGCGGACCGCCGAAAAGUUGUUCAAACUUGAUCAUUUAGAGGAAGUAAAAGUCGUAACAAGGUUUCCGUAGGUGAACCUGCAGAAGGACA